UAGAUAAGGCCCAACCCAAAACCUCAAAUUCAUUCAUCUCCGUCUUCUCGCCCCAUUCCCCCUGAAUAACAGAAAAACAAAAUCCCCAAAAUGUCCUCACCGUCCCUCCGCGUCUCCACCACCGCCCACCGCCACCUGGGCUUCAACCACUCACUCUCCCCCUCCCAAAACCUCCUCACCUCACUCUCCUUCCCCACUUCCUCUUUCCCAAAACACCCUCGCAACCUCGCCGCCCAGUGCCAAAAGAAGCAAGGCAAAGCCAAGGAGGGUGGGUCGAUCAAGGUCAAGGGCAAGCCGGGUAAUGUGUGGAGCGUGGACAACGAGCUCGC
rnacentral:lncRNA from 1 species